AGUGAGGAAUAUUGGACAAUGGACGAAAGUCUGAUCCAGCUAUGCCGCGUGCAGGAUGACGGCCCUAUGGGUUGUAAACUGCUUUUAUACAGGAAGAAAAACUCCGACGUGUCGGAACUUGACGGUACUGUAAGAAUAAGGAUCGGCUAACUCCGUGCCAGCAGCCGCGGUAAUACGGAGGAUCCAAGCGUUAUCCGGAAUCAUUGGGUUUAAAGGGUCCGUAGGCGGUUUUUUAAGUCAGAGGUGAAAUCCUGCAGCUCAACUGUAGAAUUGCCUUUGAUACUGAAAGACUUGAGUUAUUGUGAAGUGGUUAGAAUGUGUGGUGUAGCGGUGAAAUGCAUAGAUAUCACACAGAAUACCAAUUGCGAAGGCAGAUCACUAACAAUAUACUGACGCUCAGGGANGAAAGCGUGGGUAGCGAACAGGAUUAGAUACCCUGGUAGUCCACGCCGUAAACGAUGGAUACUAGCUGUAUGUCUACUUCAGGUAGAUNNGUGGCUAAGCGAAAGUGAUAAGUAUCCCACCUGGGGAGUACGAUCGCAAGAUUG
rnacentral:rRNA from 1 species